UACGGAGGGUGCAAGCGUUAUCCGGAUUCACUGGGUUUAAAGGGUGCGUAGGCGGCCUAUUAAGUCAGGGGUGAAAGACGGUAGCUUAACUAUCGCAGUGCCUUUGAUACUGAUAGGCUUGAAUGUACUUGAGGUAGGCGGAAUGUGACAAGUAGCGGUGAAAUGCAUAGAUAUGUCACAGAACACCAAUUGCGAAGGCAGCUUACUAAAGUAUGAUUGACGCUGAGGCACGAAAGCGUGGGGAUCAAACAGG
rnacentral:rRNA from 1 species